rnacentral:rRNA from 1 species
GCCUAACACAUGCAGUCGAACGAUGCUUUCGGGCAUAGUGGCGCACGGGUGCGUAACGCGUGGGAAUCUGCCCUUGGGUUCGGAAUAACAGUUGGAAACGACUGCUAAUACCGGAUGAUGUCGAUAAGACCAAAGAUUUAUCGCCCGAGGAUGAGCCCGCGUUGGAUUAGCUAGUUGGUGGGGUAAAGGCCUACCAAGGCGACGAUCCAUAGCUGGUCUGAGAGGAUGAUCAGCCACACUGGGACUGAGACACGGCCCAGACUCCUACGGGAGGCAGCAGUGGGGAAUAUUGGACAAUGGGCGAAAGCCUGAUCCAGCAAUGCCGCGUGAGUGAUGAAGGCCUUAGGGUUGUAAAGCUCUUUUACCCGGGAAGAUAAUGACUGUACCGGGAGAAUAAGCCCCGGCUAACUCCGUGC